UGAGGAAUAUUGCACAAUGGGCGCAAGCCUGAUGCAGCGACGCCGCGUGUGGGAUGAAGGGGCUACGCCUCGUAAACCACUGUAGCCCGGGACGAAAAACGCCUUAGAGGCGUUAGACGGUACCGGGAAAGUAAGGGUCGGCUAACUACGUGCCAGCAGCCGCGGUAAUACGAAGGGUGCAAGCGUUACUCGGAAUUACUGGGCGUAAAGCGUGCGUAGGUGGUUGUUUAAGUCUGAUGUGAAAGCCCUGGGCUCAACCUGGGAAUGGCAUUGGAAACUUGGCAGCUAGAGUGCGGUAGAGGGUAGUGGAAUUCCCGGUGUAGCAGUGAAAUGCGUAGAGAUCGGGAGGAACAUCUGUGGCGAAGGCGACUGCCUGGACCAGCACUGACACUGAGGCACGAAAGCGUGGGGAGCAAACA
rnacentral:rRNA from 1 species